rnacentral:rRNA from 1 species
GACAGAGGGUGCAAACGUUGUUCGGAAUUACUGGGCGUAAAGCGCGUGUAGGCGGCUCGGCAAGUCGGGUGUGAAAGCCCUGGCUUAACCUAGGAAGUGCACUCGAAACUGACCAAGCUUGAGUUCUGGAGAGGAAGGCGGAAUUCUCGGUGUAGAGGUGAAAUUCGUAGAUAUCGAGAGGAACACCGGUGGCGGAAGGCGGCCUUCUGGACAGCAACUGACGCUGAGACGCGAAAGCGUGGGGAG